rnacentral:lncRNA from 1 species
UUUUUUUCCCUAUCCUAUUAUGGACCCGCUGACUUAAGAGGGCGUGUCUAAUUAGUCAAGACCUACACUUUUUUUUUUUUUUUGGUUUAAUUAUAUUUGUUUCCUCAUACAUAAGUAAACACCAACAUCGUCAGAUAUUUACUACUUGUAUGUCAGUGUAUAUAUUACAAUGUUUUCCUAUUUCAAUAUUUUUUUAUUACUGUGUCAUCUUUUGUUUUACAUAGUUUAUCGG